CAGCUGCGAUACGUAAUGUGAAUUGCAGAAUUCAGUGAAUCAUCGAAUCUUUGAACGCAAAUUGCGCCAACGGCUCCCCGUUGGCAUGCCUGUCUGAGUGUCAUUUUCCUACAAUCUUGGAAGAAAAAGCUUUUUUUCUUCCAGAGCUGAGGUGGUCCCGGAUUAUUCUCAACAGUCCGCGUCCCUUUAAGCGUUGAGCAAGCGUCUGUCUUUGAAAAAAAGAUGUACUGCUUGGUGUGUCAAUAAAUUAUUUAAAAUUUUUCAUUGAAACCCAAGGGUCGUUUUUAUUUUCUGGGCAAAUAAAAGACGUUCAUUUUUUGCAAAACUCCAUUUCAUUAUCAAAACUUGACCUCAGAUCAGACAAGACUACCCGCUGAAUUUAA
rnacentral:misc_RNA from 1 species